AGUGAACGCUGGCGGUAGGCCUAACACAUGCAAGUCGAACGGCAGCACAGUAAGAGCUUGCCCUUACGGGUGGCGAGUGGCGGACGGGUGAGGAAUACAUCGGAUUCUACUUUUUCGUGGGGGAUAACGUAGGGAAACUUACGCUAAUACCGCAUACGACCUACGGGUGAAAGCAGGGGAUCUUCGGACCUUGCGCGAUUGAAUGAGCCGAUGUCGGAUUAGCUAGUUGGCGGGGUAAAGGCCCACCAAGGCGACGAUCCGUAGCUGGUCUGAGAGGAUGAUCAGCCACACUGGAACUGAGACACGGUCCAGACUCCUACGGGAGGCAGCAGUGGGGAAUAUUGGACAAAGGGCGCAAGCCUGAUCCAGCCAUACCGCGUGGGUGAAGAAGGCCUUCGGGUUGUAAAGCCCUUUUGUUGGGAAAGAAAAGCAGCAGGUUAAUACCCCGCUGUUCUGACGGUACCCAAAGAAUAAGCACCGGCUAACUUCGUG
rnacentral:rRNA from 1 species